AUUUUGUUUAUGGUCCAUUGAGAAAAUAAAUUCUCCCAGGAGUAAAGGGCAUGCUGGUAUGAUGCCAUUGAGAGAUGUGAAUCACCAUAAUAUGUAUUUAAUGAAUUGCCAUUAUAAGGUGGACUUACAGCCAUUUAGAAUGUCAACAGAUUUGUUCAUUCUAACACUAAGAAACAAAAUACACUUGACCGCUUACACCAGUUCUGAAGCUAGGUUCUCUCCUUCAGUUUGAGAAGACCGUGGAGAAUGGAAACAACAUUUCUUCUGAGGUUGUCAGCCAGACAGGAAGAUCGACAAAGGAGACAUCACAACAGAGCACCAUAAUAGGCACUGCCAGGGACUGCCGAGCUCGGAGGCCCUGCUCAUAUGCAGGGGGCUUCAGUCUAGCUAAGGAGACAGAGCAUAGGUGGGAUGAAAGGAAGACUACCUCGGCUCUCUUAGACUUAGCAAUUACCCCCUAACAGCUGACAGGGCCAUGUCUUAAUGCUGAGUUUCAUAGGCGAAUACAUAUUAAACUUAUAUAAAUAUACAUCUUGAAGUGAUGCAGAAGGAGACUGAAUAGACAGACACCCUUGGUGUUUUUUAAUAUGAACACAUACUCACAUCCCCUCAGGUUUCAUGAAUACUUAGGACACCAUUUACACAUUUCAGGGGAGGUCAGAACAUGAUAUCUGUUUUACACUGCUGAUGAGUUCCACAAUGCGGGUAUUCGGAAAAGCGAGAGAACAGCAAGGGGUUGCUGACUAUCCCUGGGAGCCCAAAGGCAGUCAGGGCUUCUGCAGGAAGAAGGAGACAUUGGGGGAAAAAUGGAGGGAGACAAAAUUCAUCUACUUCAUAAUUCUGCCUAGGGCCCACCUUAGCCUCAAAAUUUGGUAGUGCUCAUAAGAAAAAAACUAACCAUGAAUUCCCCACGCCACAGCUCAGUUGAUCUAUUUUCUUGACCCGUGUGGGACUGCUAACAUACUUCUCAUUCUUGAAAGCUAACCAGUCGGUUGGGGAAGCAAAAUUUAUGUAUAUUUUGUGUUUUUCAAGACCCCAUUCUUCCCUGAAACAGUCUACAUCCAAGGGGUAAGAGCUUCUAAUUGAUAAAAUAGCAGUGUCUUUAUUUUUUCAACUCUUUUGAAUCAUUUAAAUACUCCAAAAUUGUUAAUUCCUCAUGCCCCCAAACUAUUAUCAGUUUAUAGAUAAUAGUAACCAUCCCCAUUUGACCCAAAGCACAUGUAUACUCUAUAUAUCAUUACAUAUUAAACCAUAGGUACACACAUAGAGUUUUACUAUUAACAUAAUAUAGUGAACAUUCUGAUUUUACCCAUGGCCAUUCUCAUAUCAAUUAUAAUUUUAAAAAGCAAGAAAUUGUAAGAGCAAAACAAUAAACAUCAGGAAUGUAUUUUCGUUGAUAAUGAUAGCUUAAAUUAGUACAAACCAUAAAUGUUUGUGCAUAACCACAUUAAAAAUAUUUUUCCCCAAAUGAAGGAAUUCUGACACAAACUGCUAGUAAUUGUUGAGCCACCGAAGUUGUAAUGCACUUCUGAAACACAUGUAAUAAUCAUCAAACCUAAAUAUAUCUCUAAUUAAAACAAAUCCUGCUAUGAGUAUGCUGAUCAAAAGGAAAGUGCUCUUGAUAUAUUGCUGUUCAAUUUAGCCCUCCACCUCUUUUGCAGAAAUCUCCCAGGAAUGCUGCAAAGCCAUUAGAGUCUGCUGCAUACUAAAGCUUCUAGUUUAACUCCAAAAGCAUGUGUAAAAUCCUGGAUUAUAAAUCACUGUUACAAUCUACGCCCAGAAAUCCAUCUAGACUUAUUGUUUAGGAGAAGUAUUGGAAGACGAUAUACUAAGUAACAUUUAGAGUUGACUGAUCAGAAAAUAUAAUAGUUUCAAAACAAUGAAUGAAAAUUUUGAGUACUUCUCCAUUCAACAUGUAUUACAAAAAAUUAGGGACAAUUAUCACUCUUUAAAAAUGAAGUCCAUAAAGGGGACUACUUCUGAUUAUUAUUAGACUCCAUAAAAAUGUAUGAAAAGAUCUGGAAAAAUCUGAAAGUGCUUUAAAAUAUAUUAUUAAUAUUAUUUUGCUUUAAAUAUUGCAAACUUAUCUCUUCAUUGCCUACUUUAUUAUACCAGUGCCUUUGCUUUCCCAUCUAUCUCCCUUAAUUUCAGUGUUAAUUUCUUCUUAAAAAUUUAUAUACCAUGGCUAUUUGAUCCCAUUGUCAUUUUUAUUAUUACACUAUACUAAUAGGUCUACAUAUUUCUUUUAGCGGAUCCUAUACUUUUUAAAAACUUGAGAUCUUUCAGCACAUCCUCUGCAGAACCAACACCUGGUGUCAUUGCCACCAAAUUCCUGUAAGUUUGUUUAGGAAAAAAAAAUUCAAUAAGAAAGUCUACAAUUUCCUGAAUUUGUUUUCCAUGCACCAAAAUUUGGAAAAUUUUAGCUUUCACACGAAAGUUGAUCCUCUUUUUCUUCUCCUUUUGUUUCCUUCUCUUCUUUCUUAUCUUGUAACUUAAUUCCCCCUCCUUUUCCCCCCUCUUGACUGCUUUCUCUUCUGCCUUUUCUCUGACCAUUCUCUCUUUCAUACUAUUUGUUUUCUUUUUGGGUUAUUAGAAGGCUAGUUAGCUGCUGGAGUUCCUUAUCUACACUGAACAGAAGCUACCCAAGAGUGUUCCUUCUGGGAAAUUUUACGACAUAAAACAAUCCCCAUUUACUGUUUAUGUGAGUAUGGUGCCAGUGUAAGAGAAGGGCAAGGUUAGACAUAAUUACCUUGGCCAUUUAGAAGGUAGGAGGGUUAAUGACAGAUUGAAAUAUAGGGCACAUAGGCAAAUGAGAUGAUUUGAACAUGGAACAGAAAUUAAGUAAAAAGAAAAUAAGUGUAUUUUGUACUUUCUUUGUGAUAACUCACACCACCAAAAUAAUAAAGGUUUUUAUCUGCAGUCAUUCAGUAUAUGUAUCUUGUUUCAACAACUAGAUGUAAACUAAAGACAGAUACUUAUAUUAAACUUCUUUCUAUCCUUCAAAAUGUAGCGUAGCUCUUCACAUACACCAGGUGAAAGGGGUUUGAAUGACAUAUACAAAUUAUGAAAUUGGUGACUACUUCAGAAACAUUGGCUAAAAUUGCUUGAAAUUACUAUCUAAGGAUUUAAACAAUGCAAUUGGAUAUAAAUGUAUGCAUAUACAUGCCACAUUCCUCCAAAAAGAAAGAAAAUUAUAUGAAAACGUGAAAUUGGAAAUAUAAUACAAGAGAAAAUUAUAUGAAAACAUACAUAUAGUAAGAUAAAAUAAUUUUCAAUCUUGGUAACUUAAAAAUAAUCAACAAUGUUUUCAUUAUUUUCAGUAAACUAAGUAUCUGGGAAUUGAUCAUAGUGAAAAAGCAACCUGUGAGUAGCUAUGCAAUUAAUAUUUAUAGUGAGAUACUGACUUAUUAUGUGUACUUGGAUAGGUCAUGUUAUCUUACUUAUGCUUCUGUGUCUCUGAAGUGACAAUACUAUUUGCCUUUUCAUCCACCUCCUCUGCAAAGAUGCUCUGCAAAUAAAUGAGGUAAUGUUUGGGGAAUGUUUGCAGCUUGGGAAAGAAACCCACUGCAUACAUCUAAGAAUAUUCCAUAUUCAAGCCUUGUAUAUUUUGCCUCUGUUUUAAAUUGAAAUUGUACUGUUUAAGUUCUUGGGUUCUGACCAAAAUCUGGGUCAACAUAAGAGAAUAAUUAUUUUUAAUUUUAAACCUGAUUCUCUGUUCCAAUCUCCUGCACGUGUGAGGGAAAACUGUAGGAAAUAAACAAAGCACAUAAAUCAAGCUUUGGAAGAGAAAAAUCUCUAUCUGAAGGAUUUUUUUUUUUUUCAAUGACGAGCGUGCCCACUAUUUCCCUAGAGGAAUAUUUCGGUCCAGGAAGGAAGAUAGUGCAUUCAGCAUGAGUGUGUGUGUGAGUGUGUGUGUGUGUGCUGUGCGUGCGCGC
rnacentral:lncRNA from 10 species